CCUCAAAUCAGGUAAGAGUACCCGCUGAACUUAAGCAUAUCAAUAAGCGGAGGAAAAGAAAAUAACAAUGAUUCCCUUAGUAACGGCGAGUGAAGAGGGAUAAGCUCAAAUUUUAAAUCUGCUAGGUCUUACCUAUCAGAGUUGUAAUUUGAAGAAGCGUUUUCCGCGUCUCGGUUGACCCAAAUCCUUUGGGAUAUGGUAUCAUGGAGGGUGAGAAUCCCGUUCGGUUGACCUUAUGACGCUUUACGAUACGUUUUCUAAGAGUCGAGUUGUUUGGGAUUGCAGCUCAAAAUGGGAGGUAAAUUUCUCCUAAGGCUAAAUAUUGGCGAGAGACCGAUAGCGAACAAGUACCGUGAGGGAAAGAUGAAAAGAACUUUGAAAAGAGAGUUAAACAGUACGUGAAAUUGUUGAAAGGGAAACGAUUGAAGUCAGUCAUACCAACGGGAAAUCAACCUUUUGAGCUCGGUCUCGUGGGUUUUGAAGAGUUUCAAAGCCUUCGGAUUCGCGGGAUUGGGAUCUCUUGGCGUACUUUUUCGUACGGUUAGUCAACAUCGGUUUUGAAUGUCAUAAAAUGACUGGAGGAAUGUAGCUUCGAUCUCGUAUUGAAGUGUUAUAGCCUUUGGUAGAUGUGAUGUUUGAGACCGAGGAUUGCAACGGAUACCCUUCAGGGCUAUUCGUCUGAUCUCUGAUACGUUGCCUUGAUGUUGAAAGCUUGCUUAUGAUGUUAGGGUAUUACGGUCAAAAGGUUAGAACGAAUUACGUUCGUUAAGGAUGUUGACGUAAUGACUUUAAACGACCCGUCUUGAAACACGGACCAAGGAGUCUAACAUAUAUGCGAGUG
rnacentral:rRNA from 1 species